rnacentral:rRNA from 1 species
UACGAAGGGGGCUAGCGUUGCUCGGAAUCACUGGGCGUAAAGCGCACGUAGGCGGACUCUUAAGUCGGUGGUGAAAUCCUGGAGCUCAACUCCAGAACUGCCUUCGAUACUGAGAGUCUCGAGUCCGAGAGAGGUGAGUGGAACUGCGAGUGUAGAGGUGAGAUUCGUAGAUAUUCGCAAGAACACCAGUGGCGAAGGCGGCUCACUGGCCCGGUACUGACGCUGAGGUGCGAAAGCGUGGGGAGCAAACAGG